rnacentral:rRNA from 1 species
CAGUCGAACGGCAGCACAGCAUGUUACCAUCAUGUGGGUUGCUGUAAUUGGCGGACGUGGUGAGUAACGCGUGGGACUCUGCCCUAUACGUGGGGGACAACCGACGAAAGUCGGGAUAAUAACGGAUACGCCCUAAAGGGGGAGGNGGCGUUCGGCCGCUAUUGGAUNAGCCCGCGUCGGAUUAGCUAUUUGGUGAGGUACAUGGGCUCACCAAGGGCGACAGACUCACGUAACCUGGUCUUGAGAAGGAACGAUCAGACAAAUGGGGACUUAGAGAAGAACGGACCAAGAACUUCCAUUAAUCGGGGGAAGGGCUAAGAAGUAAGGGGGUGACAUAAUUUAGGCNGAGCAAAAUGGGGGGACGAACACGAGCCAUUGAAUUGUGAGGAGAGAGAUUGCACUAGCAGGAUAGAUUGGUAGAAAGAGAAAGUAGNACUUAGCUAGGGGGUUUACNGAUAUAAAGGAGAAAUUUAUACGAGGGAUAUCGGAGAACGAAUUUCAAUAGACACAGAGGNAAGCACCUUAACAGCAGAGAAAAGUCAUAUAGNGANACGUAUAUGAGUGCAAUCUAAAUGCAUNACAUCCCGGAGAUGGGAAGCA